GACGAACGCUGGCGGCGUGCUUAACACAUGCAAGUCGAACGGUGAAGCGCCUUCCUUUUUGGUGGGUGUGGACGAGCGGCGAACGGGUGCGUAACACGUGAGUAACCUGCCCCCUUCUUCUGGAUAACCGCAUGAAUGUUUCGCCAAAACGGGAUAUUCUGGGUCUGUCGCAUGAUGGGUCUGGGAAAGAUCUUGUUUCCGUAGGGGAUGGGCUCGCGGCUUAUCAGCUUGUUGGUGCGGUGAUGGCCUACCAUGGCGGUGAUGAGUAGCCGGCCUGGGAGGGUGGGCGGCCACAGUGGGGCGAAGCGGUCGAGCAGACUCCUGCAGGAAGCAGUGGGGAAGAAUAGAGCACAGGGGGAGGAAGGCUGAUGCAGCGACGCGGCGGUAGAGAUGGACGCCGGCGUGUUAUGAACCUCUUGCGGGGGGGAAGCGCGGUUGCCUCGUUUGUGGGUGGGUUGACGGUAGCUGGAGAAGAAGCGCCGGCUAACUACGUG
rnacentral:rRNA from 1 species